UGAGGAAUAUUGGACAAUGGGCGCAAGCCUGAUCCAGCCAUGCCGCGUGCAGGAAGAAGCAUCUAUGGUGUGUAAACUGCUUUUGUACGGGAAGAAACACCCCUUCGUGAAGGAGCUUGACGGUACCGUAAGAAUAAGGAUCGGCUAACUCCGUGCCAGCAGCCGCGGUAAUACGGAGGAUCCAAGCGUUAUCCGGAAUCAUUGGGUUUAAAGGGUCCGUAGGCGGUUUAGUAAGUCAGUGGUGAAAGCCCAUCGCUCAAUGAUGGAACGGCCAUUGAUACUGCUAGACUUGAGUUAUUAAGAAGUAAGUAGAAUAUGUAGUGUAGCGGUGAAAUGCUUAGAUAUUACAUGGAAUACCAAUUGCGAAGGCAGGUUACUGCUAAUGGAUUGACGCUGAUGGACGAAAGCGUGGGGAGCGAACA
rnacentral:rRNA from 1 species